rnacentral:rRNA from 2 species
AUAAUGGGUCAGCGACUUAUAUUCUGUAGCAAGGUUAACCGAAUAGGGGAGCCGAAGGGAAACCGAGUCUUAACUGGGCGUUAAGUUGCAGGGUAUAGACCCGAAACCCGGUGAUCUAGCCAUGGGCAGGUUGAAGGUUGGGUAACACUAACUGGAGGACCGAACCGACUAAUGUUGAAAAAUUAGCGGAUGACUUGUGGCUGGGGGUGAAAGGCCAAUCAAACCGGGAGAUAGCUGGUUCUCCCCGAAAGCUAUUUAGGUAGCGCCUCGUGAAUUCAUCUCCGGGGGUAGAGCACUGUUUCGGCAAGGGGGUCAUCCCGACUUACCAACCCGAUGCAAACUGCGAAUACCGGAGAAUGUUAUCACGGGAGACACACGGCGGGUGCUAACGUCCGUCGUGAAGAGGGAAACAACCCAGACCGCCAGCUAAGGUCCCAAAGUCAUGGUUAAGUGGGAAACGAUGUGGGAAGGCCCAGACAGCCAGGAUGUUGGCUUAGAAGCAGCCAUCAUUUAAAGAAAGCGUAAUAGCUCACUGGUCGAGUCGGCCUGCGCGGAAGAUGUAACGGGGCUAAACCAUGCACCGAAGCUGCGGCAGCGACGCUUAUGCGUUGUUGGGUAGGGGAGCGUUCUGUAAGCCUGCGAAGGUGUGCUGUGAGGCAUGCUGGAGGUAUCAGAAGUGCGAAUGCUGACAUAAGUAACGAUAAAGCGGGUGAAAAGCCCGCUCGCCGGAAGACCAAGGGUUCCUGUCCAACGUUAAUCGGGGCAGGGUGAGUCGACCCCUA